rnacentral:rRNA from 1 species
GACGAACGCUGGCGGCGUGCCUAAUACAUGCAAGUUGAGCGCUGAAGGUUGGUACUUGUACCAACUGGAUGAGCAGCGAACGGGUGAGUAACGCGUGGGGAAUCUGCCUUUGAGCGGGGGACAACAUUUGGAAACGAAUGCUAAUACCGCAUAAAAACUUUAAACACAAGUUUUAAGUUUGAAAGAUGCAAUUGCAUCACUCAAAGAUGAUCCCGCGUUGUAUUAGCUAGUUGGUGAGGUAAAGGCUCACCAAGGCGAUGAUACAUAGCCGACCUGAGAGGGUGAUCGGCCACAUUGGGACUGAGACACGGCCCAAACUCCUACGGGAGGCAGCAGUAGGGAAUCUUCGGCAAUAGACGAAAGUCUGACCGAGCAACGCCGCGUGAGUGAAGAAGGUUUUCGGAUCGUAAACCUCUGUUGGUAGAGAAGAACGUUGGUGAGAGUGGAAAGCUCAUCAAGUGACGGUAACUACCCAGAAAGGGACGGCUAACUACGUG